CGCGUAGGUGGUAGUGUAAGUCUGGGGUGGAAUCCCAGGGCUUAACCCUGGAACUGCCUUGGAAACUGCAUUACUUGAGUCAGUGAGGGGAGGGUAGAAUUCCUGGUGUAGCGGUGAAAUGCGUAGAUAUCAGGAGGAAGGCCUGUGGCGAAGGCGGCCCUCUGGCGCUGAACUGACACUGAGGCGCGAAAGCGUGGGGAGCAAACAGGAUUAGAUACCCUGGUAGUCCACGCCAUAAACGAUGAGAACUAGACGUUGAGAGGGUAAGCCUCACAGUGUCGUAGCUAACGCGCUAAGUUCUCCGCCUGGGGAGUACGGCCGCAAGGUUGAA
rnacentral:rRNA from 1 species